CAAACUCAGCUCUGAAACAGAAAACAGAGCAACUGCGAACAGUAGAGAGGGGGUGCGCGAAGGACCCAGUUCACGAUGACAAUGUUAAAGCUGUGAGGAAAGAGAAGAGCAAAAACAGGGAGAGGGAAGAGAGAGGAGGAGUUCGCGGUGGCUCUUAAACUAGAUGACGACGUAGUGAUAAUUUCUCCUCUGAACGACUCUCACAGCUGCAGUGAAAAUCUCGAUGGGUCAAAAAAGUGCAUGCAUGUCGAGUGGACAGAGGGAGGCUCAGGGGAGGAUACAUGUACAAGGCUCAUGUUGAUUUUCAGGAAAUCCGCAGGAGACCAUGAAGAGAUGGGUAGAGGACUUUUUUUUUACCCUGGCCUGUGUUCUUCCACGGUGCCAUCCAGUUGCACCCGCCCACCCUACCCACUUUUCCUGCAGUGAGCUCUGGGAGCUGAGACCCCAUGGUGGCCAGAAAGAUGGGAUGCAUCCCAGAAUGCUAUUAAGCAGAGAGAUGGGCCUGCAGUUCUCUACUUGACAACAUGCAUCUGUACAAGGUAUCCAUGAUGAUGGUACAUGUGCACCUUGGCUUUGGUACCCAUCCUGCAAAGAUGUUUUAAAUCAAAAUCUGUUGAUACCGUGCAUUCGGAAAGUAUUCAGGUCUUUAUGGUAGAGUGGCCAGAUGGAAGCAACUCCUCAGUAGAAUGCUCAGCCUACUUGGAGUGUGUGGGCUGUCAUGUGCCUUUUUAGAGACUCAGACCAUGAGAAACAAUGUUCUCUGGUCUGAUGAAACCAAGAUUGAACUCUUUGGCCUGAAUGCCAAGCGUCAUGUCUGGAGAAA